rnacentral:rRNA from 1 species
UGGAUACUGGCAAGCUAGAGUGUGUCACCCUGAUGGUGGAAUUCCCGGUGUAGCGGUGAAAUGCGUAGAGAUCGGGAGGAACAUCAGUGGCGAAGGCGGCCAUCUGGGACAACACUGACGCUGAGGCACGAAAGCGUGGGGAGCAAACAGGAUUAGAUACCCUGGUAGUCCACGCCCUAAACGAUGCGAACUGGAUGUUGGUCUCAACUCGGAGAUCAGUGUCGAAGCUAACGCGUUAAGUUCGCCGCCUGGGGAGUACGGUCGCAAGACUGAAACUCAAAGGAAUUGACGGGGGCCCGCACAAGCGGUGGAGUAUGUGGUUUAAUUCGAUGCAACGCGAAGAACCUUACCUGGCCUUUGACAUGUCCGGAAUCCUGCAGAGAUGCGGGAGUGCCUUCGGGAAUCGGAACACAGGUGCUUGCAUGGCUGUCGUCAGCUCGUG